rnacentral:tRNA from 1 species
UGGAUCACCUCCUAACAGGGAGACAACAAAAUGUUUAAUAUUAUUAUUUUGUCACCUUAGGUCGAUCGGUACCUCACGUUCUUAAUUUAUUAAGAAUUUCAUUUCCUAAGUUUUUCUAGGUCACACCCAUUAUUUUUCCUGGGCCAUUAGCUCAGGUGGUUAGAGCGCACCCCUGAUAAGGGUGAGGUCCCUGGUUCAAGUCCAGGAUGGCCCAUAUCUCUAUGUUGGGGGUAUAGCUCAGUUGGUAGAGCGCCUGCUUUGCAAGCAGGAUGUCAGCGGUUCGAGUCCGCUUACCUCCACUGAUUACCACCUCUUCCAUAGUUUGUAGAAAGGAAAUUUUUUGAGUUGUGAUCAAAUUCUGAACGAAUCUAGCUUCCUAAUGAAAUCAUUAAGAUGCUGGACUCAUUGAAUUAAUUUCAUUGUUUUCAGAGAACCUUGACAACUGCAUAGAUUAUUUUAAAGACAAUAAGCAUCUUUAAUGAUGCAGAUUUAUUAUUUGUGCGAAUGCAUUAAUAACAAUUCUAUUAAGCUGAUGCUUCAAUUUUGAAGUUAUUGGUCAAGCUACAAAGGGCUCACGGAGGAUACCUAGGCACACAGAGGCGAUGAAGG